rnacentral:misc_RNA from 1 species
CAAAUGGUUUGGAAAAUUAUAUAACUGGUCCCAAUUCCCAACUGGAUCAGGAUUACAGUUGAGUUCAAAUUCCUUGAAUAUCAUGGAGAGUCCAUGUGUGUUAAGUUGAACUUCUAAUGGUUGGCUAGUUUGGCCUCUAAUUAUUUAUUUAUUUUUUUCAAUUGAUUGUUGAAGCUAAGACCUCUUUGAGCUGCUUAGAAGAUGCCCCAACUGCUAGGAAAGAAUUGGCUUGUAGGUCACAAACAUUACAGAAUAUUUUAGAAGAUGG